rnacentral:rRNA from 1 species
GACGAACGCUGGCGGCAGGCUUAACACAUGCAAGUCGAACGCAUCCUUCGGGGUGAGUGGCAGACGGGCGAGUAACGCGUGGGAACGUGCCCUUCAGUUCGGGAUAACCCAGGGAAACUUGGGCUAUACCGGAUACGUGCGAGACCAGAAAGAUUUAUCGCUGAAGGAUCGGCCCGCCUCUGAUUAGCUAGUUGGUGGGGUAAUGGCCCACCAAGGCGACGAUCAGUAGCUGGUCUGAUAGGAUGAUCAGCCACAUUGGGACUGAGACACGGCCCAAACUCCUACGGGAGGCAGCAGUGGGGAAUAUUGGACAAUGGGCGCAAGCCUGAUCCAGCCAUGCCGCGUGAGUGAUGAAGGCCUUAGGGUUGUAAAGCUCUUUCGUCCGGGACGAUAAUGACGGUACCGGAAGAAGAAGCCCCGGCUAACUUCGUGCCAGCCGCCGCAGUAA